GACGAACGCUGGCGGCGUGCUUAACACAUGCAAGUCGAACGGUAAGGCCCUUCGGGGUACACGAGUGGCGAACGGGUGAGUAACACGUGGGUGAUCUGCCCUGCACUUCGGGAUAAGCCUGGGAAACUGGGUCUAAUACCGGAUAGGACCCUGGGAUGCAUGUCCUGGGGUGGAAAGCUUUUGCGGUGUGGGAUGGGCCCGCGGCCUAUCAGCUUGUUGGUGGGGUGAUGGCCUACCAAGGCGACGACGGGUAGCCGGCCUGAGAGGGUGACCGGCCACACUGGGACUGAGAUACGGCCCAGACUCCUACGGGAGGCAGCAGUGGGGAAUAUUGCACAAUGGGCGCAAGCCUGAUGCAGCGACACCGCGUGAGGGAUGACGGCCUUCGGGUUGUAAACCUCUUUCAGCUAUGACGAAGCGCAAGUGACGGUAGUAGCAGAAGAAGGACCGGCCAACUACGUGCCAGCCGCCGCGGUAA
rnacentral:rRNA from 1 species